CGUAGCCUUGCUCCGCCCUCCUACGUACUCCCGCUCAAUUUUCAUUUUCCUCCAGUACUCCGUCUGGGUUUGCGGUGUAUUCUUGGGUUUUCUCCGGCCAAAUAUUUGGCGGUCCCAUCAGCGAACAGAGGGAGUGGCUCACACCGAUGACGUUGAGGUUCUGUAACCGUUGGUGACGUGCGCUGGUUUGAGUUA